rnacentral:rRNA from 1 species
AUGCCGGAGGGACUGUUUCUGCCUGUUCUGCUUCCACGCCUUCUGCUCCCACUGCUGCGGCUCUCAUCACCACCGUGGGCCGUUUCACGCCGUCAUCUCCGUCGACGUCGCGGGCCGGCCGGUGUUCCAGCCCGGGGACUCGCAGUGGAUGCCCGACGAGGUCGUCCGCGCCAUCGCCGCCGAGGACUACGCCACGCCGCUCCCCAGAGACUCCUACUGCACGGGCUGCAAGAAGGUCUUCUGCGCCGCCGCCUGCCCGCACCACAGCAACGGCACGUGCCUCGCCGGCGUCGUUCUCCGUAUCGAGGAGCAGGGAGGCGCGCACUGCGUCCGGUGCACGGGCUUCGAGCCGUGGUUCCGCCGCGUGGAGGGCUACCUCGGCGACCUGGUCGGCGAGGAGGAGGAGGAGGGCGAGCUGCUGCUGCUACCGGUGCUGAGGAGGGCGCCGGGCACGUGCGCACAGUGCCAUGCCCAGUGGGCGGGCUGGCAUUACGAGCAACACUGCUCGCUGCCCUGCGUUAA